ensembl:lncRNA
GUCACAGAGGUCAAGCGAGGUCAAAUCACAGAAAAUAAGUUGUCUGAAAGGUCAAAUGAGGUUAAUUGGGGUCACACGAGGUCACGAAGGUCAUACGAGGUCACAGAGGUCAAGGGAGGUCAAAUUAAGGAAAAAUAAGAGGCCUGAAAGGUCAAAUGAGGUUAAUUGGGGUCAAACGAGGACACAAAGGUCAGCUGAGGUCACAGAGGUCAAGUGAGGUCAAAUCACAGGAAAAUAAGUGGUCUGAAAGGUCAAAUGAGGUUAAUUGGGGUCAAAUGAGGAUACAAAGGUCAUACGAGGUCACAGAGGUCAAGUGAGGACACAGUGAGCCACCUGGCCAUGAAAUAAGUGGCUUGAGUUGUCCCAGUAGGUUAAUUUCUGUCUAGCAAAGCCCCAGGGGUUUGGUUCCCACUGUGUACCUUAGGCCCAAUGGAUGGCUAAUGCUUCCGAUGGGCUCCUGUGAAGCCAAGCAAGUUGAGUGGCUGUUACAAUCUGCUGAGUAAAACAGUUGUUUAUUAGUAGCUAUUCG